rnacentral:rRNA from 1 species
ACGAACGCUGGCGGCGUGCUUAACACAUGCAAGUCGCACGGAAAGGCCCUGCUUGCAGGGUAAUCGAGUGGCGAACGGGUGAGUAACACGUGGGUGAUCUGCCCUGCACUUCGGGAUAAGCCUGGGAAACUGGGUCUAAUACCGGAUAGGAGCCAUUUUUAGUGUGAUGGUUGGAAAGUUUUUUCGGUGUAGGAUGAGCUCGCGGCCUAUCAGCUUGUUGGUGGGGUAAUGGCCUACCAAGGCGGCGACGGGUAUCCGGCCUGAGAGGGUGGACGGCCACAUUGGGACUGAGAUACGGCCCAGACUCCUACGGGAGGCAGCAGUGGGGAAUAUUGCACAAUGGGCGCAAGCCUGAUGCAGCGACGCCGCGUGGGGGAUGACGGCCUUCGGGUUGUAAACUCCUUUCGCUAGGGACGAAGCUUUUUGUGACGGUACCUAGAUAAGAAGCACCGGCUAACUACGUG